UGAACGCUGGCGGUAUGCUUAACACAUGCAAGUCGAACGGAAACGAUACUAGCUUGCUAGUAGGCGUCGAGUGGCGGACGGGUGAGUAACGCGUAGGAAUCUGCCUGAUAGUGGGGGAUAGCCCGAAGAAAUUCGGAUUAAUACCGCAUAAUCUAUUCGUAGUAAAGUGGGGGACUUUCGAGCCUCACGCUAUCAGAUGAGCCUGCGUAAGAUUAGCUUGUUGGUAGGGUAAAAGCCUACCAAGGCGACGAUCUUUAGCUGGUCUGAGAGGAUGAUCAGCCACAUCGGGACUGAGACACGGCCCGAACUCCUACGGGAGGCAGCAGUGGGGAAUAUUGGACAAUGGGGGCAACCCUGAUCCAGCAAUACCGCGUGUGUGAAGAAGGCCUGAGGGUUGUAAAGCACUUUCAAUUGUGAAGAAAAGUUAGCGGUUAAUAACCGUUAGCCUUGACGUUAACUUUAGAAGAAGCACCGGCUAACUCCGUGCCAGCAGCCGCGGUAAUACGGAGGGUGCAAGCGUUAAUCGGAAUUACUGGGCGUAAAGCGUGCGUAGGCGGUUUAUUAAGUCAGAUGUGAAAGCCCCGGGCUUAACCUGGGAACUGCAUUUGAAACUGGUCAACUAGAGUAUGGUAGAGGAAAGUGGAAUUUCUGGUGUAGCGGUGAAAUGCGUAGAUAUCAGAAAGGAACAUCAAUGGCGAAGGCAGCUUUCUGGACCAAUACUGACGCUGAGGUACGAAAGCGUGGGUAGCAAACAGGAUUAGAUACCCUGGUAGUCCACGCCGUAAACGAUGAUAACUAGCCGUUGGGGGGAUUUACCCUUUAGUGGCGAAGCUAACGCGUUAAGUUAUCCGCCUGGGGAGUACGGCCGCAAGGUUAAAACUCAAAGGAAUUGACGGGGACCCGCACAAGCGGUGGAGCAUGUGGUUUAAUUCGAUGCAACGCGAAGAACCUUACCUGGUCUUGACAUCCUGCGAACUUUCUAGAAAUAGAUUGGUGCCUUCGGGAACGCAGUGACAGGUGCUGCAUGGCUGUCGUCAGCUCGUGUCGUGAGAUGUUGGGUUAAGUCCCGUAACGAGCGCAACCCCUAUCCUUAUUUGCCAGCACAUCAUGGUGGGAACUAUAAGGAGACUGCCGGUGAUAAACCGGAGGAAGGCGGGGACGACGUCAAGUCAUCAUGGCCCUUACGACCAGGGCUACACACGUGCUACAAUGGGAAGGACAAAGAGCCGCGAAGCCGCGAGGUGUAGCUAAUCUCAUAAACCUUUUCGUAGUCCGGAUUGGAGUCUGCAACUCGACUCCAUGAAGUCGGAAUCGCUAGUAAUCGUAGAUCAGAAUGCUACGGUGAAUACGUUCCCGGGUCUUGUACACACCGCCCG
rnacentral:rRNA from 1 species